CCUACGGGUGGCAGCAGUGGGGAAUAUUGCACAAUGGGGGAAACCCUGAUGCAGCGACGCCGCGUGAGCGAUGAAGUACUUCGGUAUGUAAAGCCCUAUCAGCAGGGAAGAAAAUGACGGUACCUGACUCAGAAGCCACGGCUAACUACGUGCCAGCAGCCGCGGGAAUACGUCGGGGGCAAGCGUUAACCGGAUUUACUGGGUGUAAAGGGAGCGUAGACGGUCCUGCAAGCCAGAUGUGAAAGCCAGGGGCUCAACCCCGGGACUGCAUUUGGAACUGUAAGGCUAGAGUGUCGGAGAGGCAGGCGGAAUUCCUAGUGUAGCGGUGAAAUGCGUAGAUAUUAGGAGGAACACCAGUGGCGAAGGCGGCCUGCUGGACGAUGACUGACGUUGAGGCUCGAAAGCGUGGGGAGCAAACAGGAUUAGAUACCCUUGUAGUC
rnacentral:rRNA from 1 species